rnacentral:rRNA from 1 species
AUUGAACGCUGGCGGAAUGCUUUACACAUGCAAGCCGAACGGCAGCACGGGUGCUUGCACCUGGUGGCGAGUGGCGAACGGGUGAGUAACAUAUCGGAACGUAUCCAAUAAUGGGGGAUAACUAAUCGAAAGGUUGGCUAAUACCGCAUACGCCCUACGGGGGAAAGCUAGGGACCUUCGGGCCUGGCGUUAAUGGAGCGGCCGAUAUCUGAUUAGCUAGUUGGUGGGGUAAGAGCCCACCAAGGCGACGAUCAGUAGCUGGUCUGAGAGGACGACCAGCCACACUGGAACUGAGACACGGUCCAGACUCCUACGGGAGGCAGCAGUGGGGAAUUUUGGACAAUGGGCGCAAGCCUGAUCCAGCCAUUCCGCGUGAGUGAAGAAGGCCUUCGGGUUGUAAAGCUCUUUCGCAAGGGAAGAAAACUCUUACUCUAACAUAGGAAGAUAAUGACGGUACUAUAUGAAUAAGCACCGGCUAACUCCGUGCCAGCCGCCGCAGUAACAC